UCGUCCUACGGGGGGCAGCAGUGGGGGAUAUUGCACAAUGGGGGAAACCCUGAUGCAGCAACGCCGCGUGAGUGAAGAAGUAUUUCGGUAUGUAAAGCUCUAUCAGCAGGGAAGAGAAUGACGGUACCUGACUAAGAAGCCCCGGCUAACUACGUGCCAGCAGCCGCGGUAAUACGUAGGGGGCAAGCGUUAUCCGGAUUUACUGGGUGUAAAGGGAGCGUAGACGGCAGCACAAGUCUGGAGUGAAAUCCCGGGGCUUAACCCCGGAACUGCUUUGGAAACUGUGCGGCUG
rnacentral:rRNA from 1 species